AUGGAACCAUCUUUCCCUACACUGCUUCUUUCUCUAUCGACCUUUUUGGUGGCCUUCUUCUUCCCCUGCACGCACUCCCUCGAUGCCGCAGCUCCAUCUUGGAACAACUCUGACGCCGACCUACAGACGCUCCUCUGCCUCAAGUCUGGCCUUGCCAGCAACCGCACCACUGGAGCGCUGGCAACAUGGCGACACGACUCCCAGAGCUUCUGCCAAUGGCGUGGUGUGACAUGCAGCACCGUGCAGAGCGCAGCGCCUCGUGUUGUCGCGCUAGACCUCAUGUCGCUGAACCUUACCGGUCAGAUUCCUCCUUGCAUUGGAAACCUCAGUUUCUUGACCAGGAUAAACAUGCCAGACAAUAAGAUCAGUGGCAGCAUUCCCCCGGAGAUAGGCCGCCUGGCACAACUCAGACAACUCAACCUCAGCAUCAACUCCAUAGGCGGCGUGAUCCCGAAUGCACUGUCAAUGUGUUCCCGCCUGGAGAUCAUAAGCCUGUCAAGCAACCUCCUGGAAGGUGAGAUCCCUUCAGAUCUUGCUCAAAGUCCAUCCCUGGAGCAGCUUGUUCUUAGUGAUAACUUUCUUCAGGGGCACAUCCCACCCGGGUUUGCCUUGCUUCGGAACCUUUCUAUAUUAUCCUUUGCUACGAACAAACUUUCAGGCCCCAUUCCUCAGUUCCUAGGAGGCAACUCACGUCUUACCAAGCUUGCUCUCAACAACAAUGCGUUCACAGGAGAAAUUCCACGCUUCCUAGCGAAUUCCUCCUCGCUUGCUUACCUCAACCUUGCAUCAAACAAGCUCCAUGGAGAGAUCCCUCCCGCACUAUUCAAUAGCUCAUUGCUUUACACCUUAAAUCUCUCUUACAAUGGUUUUUCCGGGUCAAUCCCAUCCUUCUCUCAUGCAUCCUCGCCCUUGAAAUAUCUUAGCUUCACUAGCAAUAACCUUUCAGGGAGCAUACCUAGCUCAUUAGGGAACUUUUCCUCCCUAUCGUUCCUCUUGCUUGCUCUGAACAACUUGCAAGAGACCAUUCCAGAGAGCUUAGGUAGCCUUGCAGGUUUGCAAGUAUUAGACAUGACAUAUAACAACUUGUCAGGCACAGUUCCUCCAACCAUAUAUGCAAUCCCAUCUCUAACUUAUCUUGGCCUUGGAGCCAACCAGCUAUCUGGGAGAAUACCAACAUCCAUUGGCCAUACACUUCCAAGAAUUCAGAUGUUGGUAAUGCAAGGUAACCAGUUUGAUGGCCCAGUACCUGCUUCUUUGGCAAAUGCCUCUGACCUAAAAUACCUUGGCCUCCGCAAUAACGCAUUCGGUGGUGUCAUUCCUUCUCUGGGGUCUUUGACAAACUUGGUCACUCUAGAUCUGGGUGACAAUCUGCUUGAAGCUGGUGACUGGACUUUCUUGUCCUCACUAACAAGUUGCACCCAGUUGCAAAUGUUAUACUUGGAUAGGAAUAAUCUUCAAGGAGAGUUACCUACUUCCAUUGGCAAUCUUCCGAAAAACUUACAGUGGUUGCUUCUGAAUGAUAACCAAAUAACUGGUUUCAUACAUCCAGAUAUAGGAAAUCUCAGCAGUCUCACUCUUAUUCAUAUGGAGAGAAAUUUCCUCUCAGGGAAUAUUCCUGCUACACUUGGAAAUAUUCAGACUCUGUUUGUCCUGAAUUUAGCAGAAAACAUUUUUUCUGGAGAAGUCCCACGAUCAAUUGGAAACCUUGAGAAGCUAAGUGAACUUUAUCUGGAGAAGAACAUAUUAAGUGGGUCGAUACCUGCCAGUUUAGCAGGAUGCAGAAGCCUGACUAGACUAAACCUUUCUUGUAAUACCUUUCAUGGAAGCAUCCCUCCAAAACUGUUUUCUAUUUCCUCACUUUCUGAAGGCUUAGACUUAUCAUAUAACCAACUAACCGGACUGAUACCAUCAGAAGUUAGCAGCUUAAAUAAUCUUGAGCUCCUUAAUCUCUCCAACAACCAGCUAUCUGGAAAAAUUCCCAACAGUCUCGGCCAGUGCCUUCACUUGGAAUCGCUUCGUUUGGAUACAAAUUAUCUUCAAGGUGGCAUUCCUGGAUCUUUUAUGAACCUGCGAGGCGUUGUUGAGAUGGAUCUGUCGCAGAACAGCUUGUCUGGUGAAAUUCCAAGCUUCUUCGAGUCAUUCAGCUCUUUGCAGCUUCUGAAUCUGUCCUUCAACAACUUUCAAGGGCCAGUACCUACAACUGGUGUGUUUGGCAAUUCAAGUCUGGUGCUCAUCCAAGGAAACAAAAAUCUGUGCACAAAUUCUCAAAUGCUGCAACUACAACCUUGUAUUAAGUCCACAUUCAAAAGAAAAAGGAGUUCAUAUGUUCUAAUGGUGGUGGUUCCUAUUGUUACCAUUGUUCUAGUCUCACUCAUAUGUGCCAUAGCCAUUGUACACAGAAAGCGGGAACCAACUAAACAACCAAUCAACCAGCAUUCCGAGGGGUGGAAAAGAUUUUCAUAUCAUGAUCUAUACAAGGCAACAGGUGGUUUCUCUUCUAUUAACCUGGUUGGAGAGGGAGGGUGUGGAUCUGUCUAUACAGGUACAUUUUUGGCUGAACCACGCAUAGCUGCAGUCAAGGUGUUCAGGCUUGAUCAAGAUGGAGCAUCAAAAAGUUUCAUUGCUGAGUGUGAGGCCCUGAAAAACACACGCCAUCGAAAUCUCGUAAGAGUGAUAAGCAUGUGUUCUACAUUUGAUCCAUCAGGAAAUGAGUUCAAAGCUCUAGUUCUUGAACACAUGUCAAAUGGUAGCCUAGAAAGUUGGCUUCAUCCAGUACCAGAAAAUCAUGGCUCAAAAAGGCCACUGAAUCUUGGGUUAAGGAUAAGAAUUGCAACAGACAUAGCUGCUGCCUUGGACUAUCUCCAUAACAGAUGCAUGCCUCCUUUGAUCCAUUGUGAUCUAAAGCCAAGCAAUGUCCUUUUGGACGAUGACAUGUGUGCUCGUGUUGGUGACUUUGGAUUAUCAAAGUUUCUUUAUGACCAUCCAUCCAAAAGCUUGAUAGGGGCAAGAGGAUCAAUUGGAUACAUUGCACCAGAGUAUGGCAUGGGUAGCAAAAUGUCUACUGAGGGGGAUGUCUACAGCUAUGGAAUUAUUCUGAUAGAAAUGGUGAUGGGAAAGAACCCAACAGAUGAGAUGUUUAAGGAUGGACAUAGUCUCCACAAGUUUGUGGAACUGGCAUUUCCCCACAAGAUUGGUGAUAUUCUAGAGCCCAGUCUCAUUCCACAAUACCAGGGCGAACACACAAGUAAAUCUUCAGGCCAUGGGACACAUGUAAUGGUUGGCAUGCAAGAAUGUACAAUGCAACUGGUGAAACUAGGUCUAAAAUGCUCUGUGGAUUCACCAAAAGACCGACCAACUAUGCAAGAAGUUUAUACUGAAGUCAUGUCAAUCAAAGAAACAUUUUUAGGACUACAUGAGCGAACAAAUGAAAUAUCUGUAAUUCGUUUGUUCGAAUAA
rnacentral:rRNA from 1 species